rnacentral:tRNA from 2 species
GCCAGCGUAGCUCAGUGGUAGAGCAGCGGUUUCGUAAACCGCAGGCCAUGGGUUCGAAUCCCUUCGCUGGCUCCA